AGAGUUUGAUCAUGGCUCAGGAUGAACGCUGGCGGCGUGCUUAACACAUGCAAGUCGAACGAUGAUGCCAGCUUGCUGGUGGAUUAGUGGCGAACGGGUGAGUAACACGUGAGUAACCUGCCCUUGACUCUGGGAUAAGCCUGGGAAACUGGGUCUAAUACCGGAUAUGACCUUCCAUCGCAUGGUGGUUGGUGGAAAGCUUUUGUGGUUUUGGAUGGACUCGCGGCCUAUCAGCUUGUUGGUGGGGUAAUGGCCUACCAAGGCGACGACGGGUAGCCGGCCUGAGAGGGUGACCGGCCACACUGGGACUGAGACACGGCCCAGACUCCUACGGGAGGCAGCAGUGGGGAAUAUUGCACAAUGGGCGCAAGCCUGAUGCAGCGACGCCGCGUGAGGGAUGACGGCCUUCGGGUUGUAAACCUCUUUCAGUAGGGAAGAAGCCGCAAGGUGACGGUACCUGCAGAAGAAGCGCCGGCUAACUACGUGCCAGCCGCCGCGGUAAUAC
rnacentral:rRNA from 1 species